rnacentral:rRNA from 1 species
UACAGAGGUCUCAAGCGUUGUUCGGAUUCAUUGGGCGUAAAGGGUGCGUAGGCGGCGGGGUAAGUCUGGUGUGAAAUCUCGGAGCUCAACUCCGAAAUUGCACUGGAUACUGCUCUGCUAGAGGGCUGGAGAGGAGAUCGGAAUUCACGGUGUAGCAGUGAAAUGCGUAGAUAUCGUGAGGAAGACCAGUGGCGAAGGCGGAUCUCUGGACAGCUCCUGACGCUGAGGCGCGAAGGCUAGGGGAGCAAACGGG